UACGGCCGAAUCAUGUUGAACUACCGGUUCCCGUACGAUCACCAAUGUUAAGCAACGUCGAGCCUAGUUAAUACCUAAAUGAGUGACCAUUUGGGAAUACCAGGUGUUGUG